rnacentral:lncRNA from 1 species
GUGGAAUGUUUCACUUGAAUGGAAAUGCCCUCAAGUUACUUCCAGUAUUGCUGUAGGAUUGAUUUUUCUAGGUUAAGGGAAUGCAAAAGUUAGGUGCUUUAUACGUAUUCUUUUUUUUUUUUUUUUUAACAAAUCAUUAUCUAUCUUUUAAAUGGGUUUAAGACAUCCCAAAACAAAUCAGGAAAAGGAACAUCAUUUCAGUGUUACCAACAUAGGGCUUUGUGUAAUGACUGUGACACCAUGACAGUGAAGUAUUCAUUUUUAAGCUUUAAACAGAGAAAGCUUUACCUCAGUGUGUCCAAUAGAAAUACAAUAUGUAAAUUAACCCAUAUUAUCUGUAUGCUGAUUGGCUUGAGUUCCCCCGAAUGUCACAAUCUCACCACCCAGCAAUGAGGUAUUUUACUGCUGUCUGGAGAUCAAAUUAUUACUGUAGAGAAGAUCUUUAUUUUUUCUGUUUCAUUAACAGAUUAUUAUAAAGCAAUAAGCAUUCAGGAGGAGAAGCAGACGUUUUACAUUGGGAAUUAACGAAAGCAUGUCUGCUCGUUUUUUGGAGGUGGGGAGUUGUUUAAAAUCUUACACCACCCCCACAAACAAAACUCUUCGGAAAUGGUAAAAUAUUAUGGAAAUGCAUGAUUCCAGAGGCAUCCCUAAGCACCCAGUUGUCAGGCUAUGUGGUGUCUUGUGAUAUCAUCGGACCUUUUGGAUGGGUCUAACCUGCAGGUGCAAAGGUCAGCUGGGGAACUCAUUAAAGAGGAAAUCUAAAAGAAGCUUCCAAUGCGUUGGACCACCCUAAAAGAGAAAGGAAGGAAAUGUUCGGGGAAGGCUAGGGUUCCGGGAAGCUGAAAAGGGGGCGAGCGCCCCCGAUGCCGCGGCUUCUCCUGGCGCUGCCCUAAGGGAAGAGGAUGGGCCUGAGGUCCUGAAAAAGCCUUUCCAAGCCCCCACUUCAGGUGUGGGGAGGGAAAAGUUCAGAAGCAGCCAGAAGGGGACAAAACCCCAAUUUUGCCAGUUCAACAGGACAGAAUAUUCAAUAAACCCUGCCAGCUCUGGGAACGGGUCGAGGCUUCUGUUGGCUCCACAGAGGCUGAAGCAGCCCUCGCCGCCGCCCUCGUCGUCGCCGCCGCCGCCGCCGCCGCCGCCGCGGCCCCUGCGUUACUGGGGGAGACGGUGCCGCUGCGACAGGGGAGGACGCGGCUGGAGCUCAAGGAGGCUCCAGCGCGCAGGCGCCGCCGAGCCCUGCCUGGAUGCUCAGUCAAGGCACUAAGGCAAAAAAAAAAUCAGCAAUUUAUAGAAAGAAGAAGCUAUAGUCUGUCGGGAUAUCCAACACCAACAGUAGGGCUUAUUGAGAGCUCCAUUUCUGGAAAGCGUUGCAAGACUGAGGAAUACCAGACUGCGAAUCACCGGGAACAGUUCCCUUGCAGCACAGAAGCAAUCUCUCUCCCCAUCUUCGCAUAUUCUGAUGGCAAAUCAAAUGGAAGAAAAGAGGAAGCAUGACUGCAGAUCGCAUCAGUUCUCUUUGUGGAUUAUAUUUUCAUUAAAAUGGAGCUGAGGCGCUGUUUCAGCACAACCCUCCUUUACUGCAGAAAAUCCAGGUUACCAAGGGAACCUUACUGUGUUAUAUGAAGGAGCAUCUGGAAAUCUUUAGCCUUGUGAAACACUAACCUUCUCUGCUAAGCAAUCGUGGCCUGUAGCCAUAUCUUGAGAAGAAAAUCAAGAAUGGGAUCAGCGGUUAUAAGGAUUUGGGCAACAUUCUGCAGUCUUUGCAAUAGUUCACCUAUAAUCCUAUUUUAAAUCUCAGAGUGAUCCUGCUGACUGCCGGCGAAGGUUUGUAAUUAAGAAAGGACUGAACCACUGCCCUAAGUUUCUUUAUGUGGUUGAAAACUAGACAAUGAAAGUAGCAGGUGCUAAGUAUCAGUGCUAAAUGCUGUGUAUAUCACUACUUAUGAAAAAAAAAACAUCAAAAAAACAAUUAGCAUUGGACAUCUUAAUAAAUUAAGUUGACAUGAGGUAAAUGUGUUGAUAAAAACUAAUUUUAGAAGUUUGAAGACUUUAAAACAUUUCAUACUAUUAUCGUUUUGCAAAGACUAAAAUAUUUGGGGACUUAAAGUACUGUAAUCCACUAAAGACGUGCCAUGACUUAUUGGAUUAUCACACUUUUAAAAAUUCGCCUUGUAAGUUUUGGGGAGCAUUCCAAAGCAGUAUAUUGGUUCCAAUUAGAGUCUACUCUUUUUUUUUUUUUUUUUUGGAUUAAUACAUUACUAUUUCUAAAUACCACUUUCCUUACCUACUAGUGAAAUUGCUAGCAUUGAACUGUAUUAUGUGGGUUUUGUUGAUUUGGUAUAAAGUUUUUCCAAUUCAUUUAUAUUUUACAAAUGCUAGAUAUUGGUCUGGGAGGCAACAUUAAUGGUACCAACUGGUCACAACUGAGCAGUUCUUAUAAUGCAGAAUAAACACAUGUUGCCUUAAAGGGUUAUCUAGUAUCUUUCAUCUUAUUUAGCAUUGGAGCAAAUAGUCAAGGGAAAUUGAAUUAGUAACUGGUCAUGGUCAUGCAUCUGGAAGUGCAUGGACGAUCAUUUAAUACUCUUUUUCCUUUUUCCUCACAUGGUUUGAAAAUUAAGGUGCACAUCACUGGGAUGAUGAGAUUUUCUUCUGAGGUGUGCUACCCAUUCUAGUGUGUUCUAAGAAGCAGGCAGUUGAUGUAUGUUUAUAUUUUAAAUCAGCUGUCAAGGGGAGACCACAGCCUUAGUAUGACAUCCUGCACAAUUUGUGAAGCAUUUACUCUACUGAAGGCACAGUCUUGUUUAUACUUUCUGCACAUUCAGUGUAUUGGUCGUUUAAAUUAUUUCAGUUUUAACUUGUGAAAGCUUAUAAUAUGAUUUCUGGUAUUUUAGAAAUACAUUAGAGUCUGUGAGUCUCAUUCUUUAAGAUACAGAUGUGUGAAUUUCAAUAUAAAGUUGCAUUUGCCAAAAUUUACCUGUGUAGCCUGUUACUUUUUUUUGGAUUAAAUUUUACAUUUUUGGCAAUUAACAAUUUCUUUUGACCUGGGAGGCAAGCACAAACUAGGGAAACUAGCUUUACUAUGGUUUUGCUUUUUGAUUUUUGUAGCUAUUUUGAAACUGGAAAUGCAUGAAUGAUAGGGAGCUUAAAGCUGAUAAACUGGCAAAUAAUAUUAUCCACAAAAGCAUUAUUUGGUAGCUUAUUAUAAUUAUCCCUCUAUUUAUUCUUACAAGCCAGUAAUGUUUAGAGUUAUAUACCUGCUUAUUGAUUGGUUCAGAAUUUUAAUCUAAAUAUCACAUUUUAAUUUGGAGCAUUGCAGAAAUUUUGGAUUCUAAAUAUAUAACAUCUAAGAAGAAUGGUUUACAAUAGGAUUAUGAUAAAACCAGAAAAGUUAUUGUUUUUGCUUUCCAUUGUUUUCAUUUUUUUUGUUUUUGUUUUGUUUUGUUUUGUUUGGUACUUGAAAAAUAAGAUUAGGAACAGGAUUCUUUAUUGCUACAGUACUUCUGUAAAGAGAAUAUCAAUAUAAAUAUAAAUAAGGAAAAAUAAAUCACUGGAAUGUCUCAAUGAUAUAUGCAACUAUUCAGUUUUGCUCAUUUAAGGACAAUUCAAGCCAUGAUUUAGUGAGCGCUGUGUUUGACCUCAUUUUACUUUAUACCAAAGUUGAUUGGAUCUGAGACAAAGUUUAAUGUACAACAGGAGUUGAAUCGAGCGAUAAAGUCCCCUUGCUGGUACUAAAAUCAU